UACAGAGGUCUCGAGCGUUAGGCGGAAUCACUGGGCUUAAAGCGUGUGUAGGCGGAUUGCUAAGUACCUUGUGAAAUCCCACGGCUUAACCGUGGAACUGCUUGGUAUACUGGCUGUCUUGAGCCACUUAGGGGCGACCGGAACAAACGGUGGAGCGGUGAAAUGCGUAGAUAUCGUUUGGAACGCCAAAGGUGAAAACAGGUCGCUGGGAGUGUGCUGACGCUGAGACACGAAAGCCAGGGGAGCAAAUGGG
rnacentral:rRNA from 1 species